AUGCGAAUACACUGGCAAAUACAUUGCUGGUGGAGCUGGUGCUUGUAACCGUGGCUGUCAAGCAUGUAGUUGCUGGUGUUGCCGCCGAAAGUCCAACUGGAUUUUCUGCUAAUUCUGAGCUUUGAACCGACAGACCCGGAGAUACCACAGUAGUGGAUGGAGUAAGAGGUGGAGGCGGUGGUGAAGCAACCACGCUCUUCACAUUCG
rnacentral:misc_RNA from 1 species